CCUUGCUGUGUUCCAGUGGAGGGGAUAUGAAGAAGGGGUCAUUGGGACCACCUCUGAUCCCCCCCAUAGGCAAGGCAGUAAGUCCCUCUCUUGGCAGUGCUGUGGGCUCUCUGCAAAGCUCUCUGCAGCUGGAAUUCCAGGAGUCCCAGGAGAUGAGGUCAGGAUGCAGCAGCAGAAGCAAGGAGGAGAACUCUGAACAUGCAGGCAUGACUAGGUUCAUUUUCUCCAAGUCUUUCCGGCCAUGUCCCUCUUCGCUCCUUCCCUCAAAGCCAUUACCUCCCAUCAGGAUCAGCUCUCCUUCUUCUAACAAUAAUAAAAUGUACAGCAUGGAGAAAGAGAACAAGGACAUUGGCACUGGCUAUGAUAAUGACAGUAGAAAACACCAGGAGCAGAGUUCAGAAGAAAAAUGUUAUAAGGCUUCCUUGCUGUAUUCCAGUGGAGGGGAUAUGAAGAAGGGGUUAUUGGGACCACCUCUGAUCCCCCCCAUAGGCAAGGCAGUAAGUCCCUCUCUUGGCAGUGCUGCGGGCUCUCUGCAAUGCUCUCCACAGCUGGAAUCC